GGCCCCGUAGCUCAGCUGGAUAGAGCAGACGACUUCUAAUCGUCAGGUCGGGGGUUCGAAUCCUCCCGGGGUCACCA
rnacentral:tRNA from 1 species